rnacentral:rRNA from 1 species
UAAACAUUGACAGUUAACUACACCCACUGUCCGCCUGGGGACUACGAGCGCUAGCUUAAAACCCAAAGGACUUGGCGGUGCUUUAGACCCACCUAGAGGAGCCUGUUCUAGAACCGAUAAUCCCCGUUAAACCUCACCCUUCCUUGUUCUUUCCCGCCUAUAUACCACCGUCGUCAGCUUACCCUGUGAAGGCCUAAUAGUAAGCACAAUCGGCAAUGCCCAAAACGUCAGGUCGAGGUGUAGCGAAUGGAAGGGGAAGAAAUGGGCUACAUUUACUGAUACAGUAAAUACGGAUGAUUACCCUGCAACGAGUAUCUGAAGGAGGAUUUAGCAGUAAGCAAAAAGCAGAGUGUUUUGCUG